rnacentral:rRNA from 1 species
CCAGACUCCUACGGGAGGCAGCAGUGAGGAAUAUUGGUCAAUGGGCGAGAGCCUGAACCAGCCAAGUAGCGUGCGGGAUGAAGGCCCUUGUGGUCGUAAACCGCUUUUAUCAGUGAAUAAAGUGCACCACGUGUGGUGUCAUUGCAGGUAGCUGAAGAAAAAGGACCGGCUAAUUCCGUGCCAGCAGCCGCGGUAAUACGGAAGGUCCGGGCGUUAUCCGGAAUUAUUGGGUUUAAAGGGAGCGCAGGCGGGAGUAUAAGUCAGCUGUUAAAUAUCAGAGCCCAACUCUGUUAUGCAGUUGAAACUAUAUUUCUUGAGUACGCACAGGGAUGGCGGAAUUCAGGGUGUAGCGGUGAAAUGCUUAGAUAUCCUGAAGAACUCCGAUCGCGAAGGCAGCCAUCCGGAGCGUAACUGACGCUGAGGCUCGAAGGUGCGGGUAUCGAACAGGAUUAGAUACCCUGGUAGUCCGCACGGUAAACGAUGAAUACUCGCAGUUCGGUCUUUAUGAUUGAGUUGUCCAGCGAAAGCGUUAAGUAUUCCACCUGGGGAGUACGCCGGCAACGGUGAAACUCAAAGGAAUUGACGGGGGCCCGCACAAG